rnacentral:rRNA from 1 species
GACGAACGCUGGCGGCGUGCUUAACACAUGCAAGUCGAACGGAAAGGCCCCUUCGGGGGUACUCGAGUGGCGAACAGGUGAGUAACACGUGAGUAACCUGCCCUUGCCCUCGGGAUAACUUUAGGAAACUGGGGCUAAUACCGGAUAGGAAUCUUUGCUGCAUGGUGGGGGUUGGAAAGCUUCGGCGGUUUUGGAUGGACUCGCGGCUUAUCAGCUUGUUGGGGGGGUAGUGGCUUACCAAGGCUUUGACGGGUAGCCGGCCUGAGAGGGCGACCGGCCACAUUGGGACUGAGAUACGGCCCAGACUCCUACGGGAGGCAGCAGUGGGGAAUAUUGCACGAUGGGCGGAAGCCUGAUGCAGCAACGCCGCGUGCGGGAUGACGGCCUUCGGGUUGUAAACCGCUUUCAGCAGGGGCGAAGCUUGUGGUGACGGUACCUGCAGAAGAAGCACCGGCUAACUACGUG